GCACAAGCGGUGGAGCAUGUGGUUAAUUCGACGCAACGCGAAGAACCUUACAGGGCUUGACAUCCCCUGACCGCGUAUGAAAGUACGUUUUCACCCUCGGGUGACAGGGAGACAGGUGGUGCAUGGUUGUCGUCAGCUCGUGUCGUGAGAUGUUGGGUUAAGUCCCGCAACGAGCGCAACCCCUAUUGUUAGUUGCCAUCAUUCAGUUGGGCACUCUAGCGAGACUGCCGGUAAUAAACCGGAGGAAGGUGGGGAUGACGUCAAAUCAUCAUGCCCCUUAUGACCUGGGCUACACACGUGCUACAAUGGUUGGUACAACGAGUUGCGAGUCGGUGACGGCGAGCUAAUCUCUUAAAGCCAAUCUCAGUUCGGAUUGUAGGCUGCAACUCGCCUACAUGAAGUCGGAAUCGCUAGUAAUCGCGGAUCAGCACGCCGCGGUGAAUACGUUCCCGGGCCUU
rnacentral:rRNA from 1 species